AUUGAACGCUGGCGGCAGGCCUAACACAUGCAAGUCGAGCGGAUGAAGGGAGCUUGCUCCUGGAUUCAGCGGCGGACGGGUGAGUAAUGCCUAGGAAUCUGCCUGGUAGUGGGGGAUAACGUCCGGAAACGGGCGCUAAUACCGCAUACGUCCUGAGGGAGAAAGUGGGGGAUCUUCGGACCUCACGCUAUCAGAUGAGCCUAGGUCGGAUUAGCUAGUUGGUGGGGUAAAGGCCUACCAAGGCGACGAUCCGUAACUGGUCUGAGAGGAUGAUCAGUCACACUGGAACUGAGACACGGUCCAGACUCCUACGGGAGGCAGCAGUGGGGAAUAUUGGACAAUGGGCGAAAGCCUGAUCCAGCCAUGCCGCGUGUGUGCAGAAGGUCUUCGGAUUGUAAAGCACUUUAAGUUGGGAGGAAGGGCAGUAAGUUAAUACCUUGCUGUUUUGACGUUACCAACAGAAUAAGCACCGGCUAACUUCGUG
rnacentral:rRNA from 1 species